ensembl:lncRNA
UUUGACUUCAAGAAAAGAUGAAGAAAUAACGUAGGAUAUUUCACAAACAUAGCAGAGUCAUCAGGGCUGGAUGACUAAGAAAGUAAGGAUCAAGAAAGAUGUAUAUUUGUGUAAUGGUGUUGUAAUUAUUACUUAAUAUGCCGAGUUACUGGGCAUAUUGCAAAGUACACUGGCACAUUGCCUAUAACUAGUCUGGGGUGGGUUAUCCUCUUGCCCUCACAACGUCUUCCCUGAGGUUUUUCUAUAAAAGCAGGGGCACCAAGAGCAGUAACCUCACCAACGACUCCCAUCGCUGCAGAAGGACUCAACCAGUGAAGAUCAACCUUCUAGACAUGGCUGCAGUGAGCUUUAAACUGGUGGUGGAGACUGCUGAUGGCAACAAGAAAGCUGAAUACAAACCUGCUUCGCACUGCCACCAGAAACUCGGUUGGGCGUUGAAUGAAUUUGAAGAUUCAGUCUCAGACUUCAGUUUCAAAACUGCAGGCAAAUUUGGAUUGCCACCUUAUUUGGCCCAGGUGACUUUUGGUAAUAACACUCUUAACAAAACUGACACCGGCUUCUGGCAAAUUCUGGUGCAAAACCACAACAUGAUAACACCUGCUGGACUCUUCAACUACACUGUCCAGGACAGUGACGUGGUCAUCCUGCGUUACAUUGCCAAGUGAUACUGACUGUGGCGCCAUCUUCCUGCAGGGUCCUGGAUUACACUGAGUGCUGCUCGACACUCCUUAAUAUGAUGAUUAUUUAGUCUGAAUUAUAUUAAAUGUAACAAAUAUGUUGAAUUGAACAUAGAUAGUAAUUAAUUGGAAGUGAAAAUAUAAUGGAAUAAAGGACUGCAAUUAUCUCAUUUGUGUCAUUCCACUGUAUUGGCACAGACUCACAGUAACCAGCCCACGCUGCCUGCCAUCAUAUCUCUUUUGAUUCUGAGUACACAAAAGCAGAUCAUCACGUAUAUUUAUAUAGUUAUGAAUAGUUAUUGAUAUGGUUCUUUCUAGUUAUCAUUAACAUAGUUAUUAAUAUUAAUAAUUAAUAGUUCCGUUUAUAUUAUAGUAACUGCACACAUAUUAUUUCAAUUUUUUCUUAAAAAGCCAAAUGAAACCGGACAGUACAUUUAUUUGAAUGCAUACAUUUUUUACUAUACAGUACAGGUUCAUUUACAUUUAAAAAAUUGUGCAAACAAUUUAUGUAUACAGAGAAAUGUCAUAUAAUGCACAUAAAUAUUGGAUAUUUAAGGGUGUUUUUGUGUAUCUAUGUCUUAAAAAAUAUAAUAUGUCUUUUGUCCUUCUAUGCUAAUGUUUGUAAAUAGCGAAAAAAUAAAUUGGCAGAAAGGGGAACGAGCAGCAUGCAAGAGUCACCAAUACUUAGCCUUCAUGCAGCAAUUGGCCAAUCAUGCAUCAAUCAGAGUCAUUAAAGAGACCGCCCCAUGGAAACACCAUUUGAAAAACCCGGCUUCCCAUUCCUUAGCUAUCUUCUAGAGUCUAAGUCAGUGAUGUUUAUUUUGUAAAAAUGGUUGUUAAUUGAGCCGCCCCAGAACAGACGAAGAAAAUACUGAAUAAAUUAGAAAGACCAAAAAAAUAAAGAUGAAAAAAAUACUAAUUACUUUGAUACUUAUAAGCAACCAUUCUUACUCAGAUGCUACACAGCUACCUGGACAAACAGCGCCCAGUCCACAUGACAUCAUGUUUACCCAUGGAGGACCGGAGAACAGAGCUAUGUUAGAAAUAUACACAUGAAUUUAGAUCAUAAUCAGAACAUUAAUGAAUAAG